rnacentral:rRNA from 1 species
GACAGAGGGGGCAAGCGUUGCUCGGAAUCACUGGGCGUAAAGGGCGCGUAGGCGGGAUGGCAAGUCGGUCGUGAAAUCUCUCGGCUCAACCGAGAAACGUCGGCCGAUACUGCCGUUCUUGAGGGAUGCAGAGGAGACUGGAAUUCCCGGUGUAGCGGUGAAAUGCGCAGAUAUCGGGAGGAACACCUAUGGCGAAGGCAGCUCGCUGGGACGGUACUGACGCUGAGACGCGAAAGCGUGGGGAGCAAACAGG